UCUGCGUGGAUGUUUUCAGUACUCAGACCCAUCAGCUGAGCUGGAACAGGAUAAAAUGUGCUGCAGGAGAAGGUGCAAAGUAGAGAGACAUGAAAGAAAAUGUUGCUUCAUACUUGUCCACAUUACAGAUUAUUCAGACCAAUACUCAGGCAAUAUAUCACAGUCAUUUGUUGGAAUCUUCAAAGAUAACAGGACAUCUGCUUGAGCCAUUCAUCAAUAAUAAAACAGAAAGGCGUUAAACUGAGAAAACACAUCAUCAUCUUCAUAAAUGGUUAACAGGUGUGAGCAGAGGAGCACGGACAUGCCUUGAUAAUGGGAAGCAGAACCACCUCGCUAUCUUUUUAGAUAUCACUGCCUCACAAGUACAACCCACUUACUGUUCAGGAGGAAUGAAGACCAAUGGGCUACUGCUGUCCCUGUUGUCAAGACGGUUGUCUUUUUUCACCCACGCAACCCAAGCAAUGGAUGUGACCAAGCAAGUCAGCCUUAAAGGCAAGACCUGGCAUUGGAAAAGCUGCAGCUGAGGAGUUAUUACAGACACACCAGGAGGGACCUCUAACACUUGUUGCUGUUUCAGAAGAAAAUAUAAGCAACAUGAUACAGAAUUUAAAACACUCCUGUCAAGUAUGUCACAGCAGUAUUUUCUGAAUGAAAGAGGCCAUCGGCUCCUAGUUGUUUUUUUUAUGUAUGUUUCCUCUUUACAUGAUAUACGUUUCCACAAACUAUUACUAAUCAGUCAGGAUUUCUAGCAUGUUCAAACUGACUUAAAUGUAACCUGGAAAUGGAGAGCAUGCUCCUUAAAGGGCUAUAAUAGAAAUAUCAUAGAAAAUAGGAUUUGCUCAGCAUGGAAAAGUACUGGCAUCUUGCACUCCUAUAAUCUUGCUCCAGUUUGCAAACUUAAGAAAUAAA